ACUCAAGCAAGCCACAUGAGUAGCCUUCAUCGCUUGUGAUUCUAGUUCCAAGCAUUCUGAGUGCUCCUUGUCAUCCUUGUGGUGUUGUAGUAUUUCGUGGGUUUCUUCUAAGCCAGCCGGCUUAGAAUUAUCUUCGCGGCAGUGUGGGUUUUCUCAGUGAGGCUUACGACGUUCAACCCAUAAGCCCAGCCACUCACGAUCACGUGUGUCGCAUCAUUGCCGGUCUCAGACGCCUCGCUCAGCCAUCACCCACAAACCCAACUACAGUCGGCCAUUACAACUCACCUACCUCAUCAGUGUUUUGACAAUAGUGCCAUUUUUAAAGCUCCAGCAAGAAA